rnacentral:lncRNA from 1 species
AUUCACAAUGGUAGUGUACUACAUCGCUCUUGUAUUAAUUUAAGAAUUUGAACCUGCCAAUUCAUAAAAAAUAAAUAACUAUUUUUUGUUAUUGCCAUAAAUAGAUAAAUCAAUAUACGACAAUUAUAUUAAAAAGUCGAAAGCAUACAACAAAGGUAAACCUAUAUCUCAUUUUUUUCAGUUAGUAUCCAAAAAGGUUCAAAUAUAUUCUUAGAGGUAAAGUUUGGUGAAUGAUUGAGGCAAUUAAUGUAACGACCCGGCCGGUUGUUUUGCUUCUUAGAUCCACGUUCCCCUAAAUAAGACUCUUGUAUGUGCUUUUACUAUUCUAUGACUUGCGGGGAUAGUUAGUUCGGAUUUGGAAAGGUUCGGAUUGAAAUCAGAACACUUAGUUCCUUAAUAUUGUCUUUAAAUGGUUAAGUUUGGCUUGGGUCAAUAUUUCUAGUAAACAACCUCGGAAAUGGGAUUUGAUGGUUCUAAUAGAUUCGUAUGAUGAUUUUGGACUUGGGCGUGUGUUCGGAUCGGAUUUUGGAUAAACCGGGAACGUUUCGGUGCCUAAAGUUGAAAGUUGGCUUAUUGAAGGUUUAAAGGUUCCUUAAAUUUGAUUUGGAGUAGGUUUUGAUAUUAUCGAGGUCCGUUUGGGAUUUCAAGCAUAGGAAUAGUUCUGUAUAGUGAUUUAAGACUUGCACGCAAAAUUUGGUGUUAUUCCGAGUAGUUUAAAUAUGAAAUGGUACGUUCUGAGUAAAUUAAAAGAAUUUAAAAUUCAAAAGUUGAUCCCAUUGGUUUUUGGUUGCGAUUCUUAGUUUUAAUGUUGUUUUCUGCAUUUACAAACUAGUUGGUAUGUUUGGACGGGGUCUCAGAAGCCCCCGAUGCCAUUCGGACGAUGCACGGAAGUCGUUUGGCCUUGGAUGAAUAGCUGAAACAUCCAGCUUCUGGUGCAAUCGCACCUGCGGAGGGCCAGCCGCAGAAGAGGCCCAACGUAGGCAGCCCAAAAACCGUAGAUGCGGGUGAGGGUUCGCACCUGCGAAAGCGCAGGUGCGAAGGAAGCUAUCGUAAAAGCGGCUAAAGCCGUAGGUCGACACACGCGUCGCAACAGCGGUCCUGCAGAAGCGGACUUGAGGUUCGUAGAUGUGUAAGAGGCCAUUAGAGGGGGAGCUGCAUCUGCGAGGCUUUUUUCGCAGAUGCAGCCAUAGAGUCGCAGAAGCGGAAGACCUAGAGGCAGAAAGGUUCAUUUAUUACGGGAAUUAGGCUAUUUUUGACUCAUUUCUCUCACUUCUUGGGCGAUUUUGGAGCUUCUUAGAGAGGGAUUUUCACCUAGCUAUUGGAAGUAAGUAAUUUCUAUCCAAUGUAAUUUAAAUAUACAGAUUAUGGAUAGAUUUUAACAUGUAAAAUUGUGGAAAUCAUGAGUUUAGAUGAAAACCCUAGGUUUUGAUAAAAAAUGGAAUUUAACCACGAAAAUAGUUGUGGGUUUGAGUGAAAAUUAUAUAUUUGAGUUUGUGAGGUUAUGGGUAACAUUUAUCUUCAAAAAUAUUCGAAAUCCGGGCACGUGGGCCUGGGGAUGAAUUUUUGGAAUCUUUCAAUUUGGGUUGGGCAAUUACUGUAAUAGUUAAAUUAUGAACUUUCGAACACAUAUUGAUUAAUUUAUAUAACAUUUGACUAGUUUUGGGUCGUUUGGCACCGAGUUGAGGAUUUAAAGUAUAUUUGUGGAUCGGAAGUGAGCUUGAGAACUAGGUAAGUCUCUUAUCUAACCUUGUAAGAGGAAACUCAUCCCCUUAGGUGUAUUUGUCAUGAAUUACUUGUGUGGGGAGCUACGUACGCACUAGGUGACGAGAGUCCGUGCAUAGCUAAAUUCCAUGUGAUGUCCGAGUAGUCUUAGAUUUACAUCAUGCUUUGUUUGCACUAUUAUGUUGAUUUUGCAUAUUAAUUCUCUUAAAUAGAGCUGAGAUUAAGGAUUUUAAGAUUUAAAAGUCUCCAUUUUGGAUUUCUUAUGCUUGGGAAGCAUUGAAGAAUUUUAUAAUAACUUUGAUAAAUCCAUAUUCACUCGCGUCGCAAGUAUUUUUGCGAGCGAGGUAAAUUUCCUCUACUCUCAUGGGAGCGGGUCGUUCGCCUCGACAGGUUAAUAGAUGCAUUUAUGGUUUGUGUCGUUUGACCUUCGGCAGUGCACACUGUAUAUUUUCUUGAUCGGGUUGUACGACCUCGGCGUAAAUCGUGCGUGAUAAUACUCGGAACCCAAUUAUAUUUGAUAUUAUUUUAUUGGUUGAGCGGUUAUAAUUGCUUAAUGACAGAAAUUGACUUCAAAUUUAUUAUUAUUGGAAGAAUUAUUAUUCACUGCUUGUUACUGAGUUGUAUUUAUUAUUUAUAUGAUCUAUGCUUAUUUAGAACUUCUGUAUUUUAUUGUUGACCCAUAGUAAGUGUCGAUGUCAACCCCUCGUCACUACUUCUUCGAGGUUAGACUAGAUACCUACUGGGUACAUGUUAUUUAUGUACUCACGCUACACUUCUACACUAAUCGUGCAGGUUCUGAGGCAGGUGCAUCAGGUAGUUAUCCCGGCGCACACCCCUAAUAUUUCGAGACUUCGUGGUGAGCUGCUUUCCGAGUCCAUCCUGCAGCACCUGGAAUCUCUCUUUUGCUUUUAUUUUCUGUCUACUCCAUUCGGACAGUAGUUUAUUAUUUUUUAUAUUCUACUAGUAGCUCAUACACUUGUGACACCAAAUUUUAGAAUUUUGCUAGUAGAUACUUGAUGAUUUUGAGUAUUAAUUUCACCACACUUGUUCUUAUAAAUGUUUACACUCUAUUUUAUUGAAUUUCUCACCUUUUACUUAUUUAAUAAUUAAAAAUUAGUUAUUUUUAAAAUGUUAAAAGAAUAAAUACAUGGCUAGUUCACCGUUGACUUGCCUAGCGGCGACGUUGGGCGCUAUCACAGCCUAUAGAAAAACAAUUAAGAUGCAAGAAAGGAGGACACAUAAAGUUUCAAGAUCAAAACUAAUCGGAGUUGAAAUAAAUAAUAAAUUUCUUGCACACCAAACUGAUUAGAGAAACAAAAUCAUUUACUUUAUUUAUAUACAUACGUUUAAAUUUAUUUGCAUAUUAAAAUAGAAAGACCGAAUCCAUCAUUCAUCAAAUUUCGAGGUAAGGCAGAUGAGACUAUAAGUAUCAGUUAAUCAUUACUUAAAUAUAUCCCUCUUAUCAUACAUGUACUAAACCUUGCAUAUAAACCAUCUAUGCCACAAGUCAAAAAUGAAAAUGCUAAAAACCAACAAAAGUUUGCAUAAGUUAUGUAGCAAAUUAAAGAGUCACAAUCCACAGUUAGUCAAUGGAAUUACCAUCAUAGGAAUGCUCCAAAUGAAUCUCUAACCAGCAAUAUAUGAGUAUGUGUGCUGAAAAAAGUACCUGCUUAGCCACUACUCAGGAUACCUAUGCUGAAGCAAAUGUAAUGCCUUCCUAGUAGCAAUUCAAAGGCCAUUUUUUCUUAGUCCGGGAGAAUUCUUGAGACCACUAACUUGCAUUUAGCAACUUUCUGAUUCAGGUGAGGAUGAAAUCAACAAAUAUAUGAUUACUGAAUCGUAAAAAAUCAGCCAAGUAUUUUGUAUACGACAGUGUCGACAGAUAACAAACAAAAUCGGAUAAAGAGUCUCAUUAAAUAAGAGAACACCGAGUACUUUGUAAAAAUUUCCCGAUCACUUAAAGCUAUAUCAUUGAAUAAUAUUUAUCAAAACAUAUGUAACAGUAGAUUUUGCUUUUUUUUACAAUCAUUGCCAGCACACGCAAAUGAAUAGAUUGUGAAGUGAUGUUCGAGGAGUGAUUCUCUGCUUAACUCCUUCCUUCAUUCGUUUUCUAUCAUUUUUUCCGUUGUACAGUCAAUCAUUAAAAAGCUUUGUAUUAUCAUUCAACUCAAAUUUGUUUUGGCGAAAAGUCAAAAUCGUGUAUCAAAUAGAAGAUAAAUAAAUCUGAAAAAGGAGAACAACAGACCUAUUUUCUAUUUGACAAACUUCAAAUUUCGUGCCUACAACCACAAAUUGGGUCGUCUUGUUUCGCAAUCUGUCAUCGACUUCUUCGAUCUGGUCAUCAUUUAUACAAAUCUCCUACCAUUCAUAUCAAUGGAAAUAGUAUAACAAUCUAUAGUUCUUCGAUCUGGUCAUCAUUUGAUGAAUUUAAAUGAGUUUUAAACUUCUCCAAGAAAUGAAGAGAGAAACUGAUCUCUCCAGCAGUUUUCGCUGUUGUCCUUUUU